rnacentral:tRNA from 1 species
UCUAUUAUGGCAGAAAAUUUAUGCAAUGAACUUAAAAUUCAUAUAUAAAGAUUAAUCUUUUUUUAGAA